rnacentral:rRNA from 1 species
UGGGGAAUAUUGGACAAUGGGCGAAAGCCUGAUCCAGCCAUGCCGCGUGUGUGAAGAAGGUCUUCGGAUUGUAAAGCACUUUAAGUUGGGAGUAAGGGCAGUAAGCGAAUACCUUGCUGUUUUGACGUUACCGACAGAAUAAGCACCGGCUAACUCUGUGCCAGCAGCCGCGGUAAUACAGAGGGUGCAAGCGUUAAUCGGAAUUACUGGGCGUAAAGCGCGCGUAGGUGGUUCGUUAAGUUGACUGUGAAAGCCCCGGGCUCAACCUGGGAACUGCAUCCAUACCUGGCGAGCUAGCGUAGGGCAGAGGGUGGUGGAAUUUCCUGUGUAGCGGUGAAAUGCGUAGAUAUAGGAAGGAACACCAGUGGCGAAGGCGACCACCUGGGCUCAUACUGACACUGAGGUGCGAAAGCGUGGGGAGCAAACAGG